GUGAGGAAUAUUGGUCAAUGGGCGAGAGCCUGAACCAGCCAAGUCGCGUGAAGGAAGAAGGAUCUAUGGUUCGUAAACUUCUUUUGCAGGGGAAUAAAGUGCAGGACGUGUCCUGUUUUGUAUGUACCCUGAGAAUAAGGAUCGGCUAACUCCGUGCCAGCAGCUGCGGUAAUACGGAGGAUCCGAGCGUUAUCCGGAUUUAUUGGGUUUAAAGGGUGCGUAGGUGGUUUGAUAAGUCAGCGGUGAAAGUUUGCAGCUUAACUGUAAAAAUGCCGUUGAAACUGUCGGACUUGAGUGUAAAUGAGGUAGGCGGAAUGCGUGGUGUAGCGGUGAAAUGCAUAGAUAUCACGCAGAACUCCGAUUGCGAAGGCAGCUUACUAAGCUACAACUGACACUGAAGCACGAAAGCGUGGGGAUCAAACAGGAUUAGAAACCCCGGUAGUCC
rnacentral:rRNA from 1 species